rnacentral:rRNA from 1 species
UGCAAGUCGAACGAUGAAGCCGCUUCGGUGGUGGAUUAGUGGCGAAGGGAGAGUAACACGUGGGCAAUCUGCCCUUCACUCUGGGACAAGCCCUGGAAACGGGGUCUAAUACCGGAUAACACUCUGUCCCGCAUGGGACGGGGUUGAAAGCUCCGGCGGUGAAGGAUGAGCCCGCGGCCUAUCAGCUUGUUGGUGGGGUAAUGGCCUACCAAGGCGACGACGGGUAGCCGGCCUGAGAGGGCGACCGGCCACACUGGGACUGAGACACGGCCCAGACUCCUACGGGAGGCAGCAGUGGGGAAUAUUGCACAAUGGGCGAAAGCCUGAUGCAGCGACGCCGCGUGAGGGAUGACGGCCUUCGGGUUGUAAACCUCUUUCAGCAGGGAAGAAGCGCAAGUGACGGUACCUGCAGAAGAAGCGCCGGCUAACUACGUGCCAGCAGCCGCGGUAAUACGUAGGGCGCAAGCGUUGUCCGGAAUUAUUGGGCGUAAAGAGCUCGUAGGCGGCUUGUCACGUCGGAUGUGAAAGCCCGGGGCUUAACCCCGGGUCUGCAUUCGAUACGGGCUAGCUAGAGUGUGGUAGGGGAGAUCGGAAUUCCUGGUGUAGCGGUGAAAUGCGCAGAUAUCAGGAGGAACACCGGUGGCGAAGGCGGAUCUCUGGGCCAUUACUGACGCUGAGGAGCGAAAGCGUGGGGAGCGAACAGGAUUAGAUACCCUGGUAGUCCACGCCGUAAACGUUGGGAACUAGGUGUUGGCGACAUUCCACGUCGUCG